rnacentral:ncRNA from 1 species
GCGCCGGGACGACCCGGUCGCCUUCAUUCUUCCGGGGACGGCCCCG